AACGCACAUUGCGCCCCCUGGCAUUCCGGGGGGCACGCCCGUCCGAGCGCCAGCGCAGACCUCGAGCCCCGCGCUCGCCGUUGGGCGCCGCCCCCAGGGGCGCGCCCCGAACCGGUCGGCGGCGCCGCCGGCGUGGAGCGCAACGAGCCCAGAGCCCGCGCCCCCCGCCGGCGGCGGCCGCCCGCCCCCACCGCAAGCAAGGCCUCGGAUCGGGCGGGGAUACCCGCUGAACUUAA
rnacentral:misc_RNA from 1 species